rnacentral:rRNA from 1 species
GCAGGGAGGAAUAUUGGGCAAUGGGCGGGAGCCUGAUCCAGCCAUGCCGCGUGCAGGAAGACUGCCCUAUGGGUUGUAAACUGCUUUUGUACAGGAAGAAACACUCCCUCGUGAGGGAGCUUGACGGUACUGUAAGAAUAAGGAUCGGCUAACUCCGUGCCAGCAGCCGCGGUAAUACGGAGGAUCCAAGCGUUAUCCGGAAUCAUUGGGUUUAAAGGGUCCGUAGGUGGAUGAUUAAGUCAGAGGUGAAAUCCUGCAGCUCAACUGUAGAAUUGCCUUUGAUACUGGUUGUCUUGAAUUAUUGUGAAGUAGUUAGAAUAUGUGGUGUAGCGGUGAAAUGCAUAGAUAUCACAUAGAAUACCGAUUGCGAAGGCAGAUUACUAACAAUACAUUGACACUGAUGGACGAAAGCGUGGGGAGCGAACAGGAUUAGAUACCCUGGUAGUCCACGCCGUAAACGAUGGAUACUAGCUGUUCGGAUUUAUCUGAGUGGCUAAGCGAAAGUGAUAAGUAUCCCACCUGGGGAGUACGUUCGCAAGAAUGAAACUCAAAGGAAUUGACGG